CCUACGGGUGGCUGCAGUGAGGAAUAUUGGUCAAUGGGCGGGAGCCUGAACCAGCCAAGCCGCGUGAGGGAAGAAGGUACAGCGUAUCGUAAACCUCUUUUGUCAGGGAACAAAGUCGGGGACUAGUCCCCGGAUGAGGGUAACUGAAGAAAAAGCAUCGGCUAACUCCGUGCCAGCAGCCGCGGUAAUACGGAGGAGGCGAGCGUUAUCCGGAUUUAUUGGGUUGAAAGGGUGCGCAGGCGGCCUGUUAAGUCAGCGGUAAAAGCCCGGGGCUCAACCCCGGCGAGCCGUUGAAACUGGCGGGCUGGAGUUGGAGAGAAGUACGCGGAAUGCGCGGUGUAGCGGUGAAAUGCUUAGAUAUCGCGCAGAACCCCGAUUGCGAAGGCAGCUUACUAAACUGCCACUGACAUUGAUGCUCGAAAGUGUGGGUAUCAAACAGGAUUAGAUACCCCAGUAGUC
rnacentral:rRNA from 1 species